UAGAGUAUGUUCGUAGAGUGGUCAGCAA
rnacentral:sRNA from 1 species